UCUAGAUACUGAUGGCCGAAAGUCAUUAUUUUCUCACCAUUGCCUGAAGACUAACCCUGACCUUCCCUUUCACAGGAAGUUUUGGUUUUCCUGCUUCCUUUGUGGGCAGCAUUAAGCAAUCAGCAGACACCUUCAGAAUGAAGCAGAAGAGCCUGAGAUUACUUCUGCAAGUAACCAAGAAAUGAAGACAAUUGGGAUUUCCAAGCCAUCUGGAAGACGAUCUUCUACAGCUUUCUGGAAGAAGUCUUGACUUUAACAUCCAAAGAAGACACCUCAAGCCCCAGUCCUAGGUCGGAAGUGCAGAAUCGGACCCCAUGAGUGAGACAUCAAGAUGAUCCCUAAAUAGAAGACCAAAAGAAGAGCUGUGAAGCUGGGAGUUCACAGAAUCCUUGCUGAAGGUGCCAGAUUUUCUAGUUCAUAUGAAGCGUAUCUACCAAUUUUAUAUAGCUCUUAAGGGAAAGAGGAUCCCUGUGGCUAUCUGGGUUGCAUAAAUGGGUGAACCAAGGCCUAAAGAGGUUGGGAGCUCUGCCUACAGUCACACACCUAAUUAUUGUGGGAGCCAGGACUGGACGCCAUGCCUUGCCCAGGUCUCAGCAGUUUCCUUUGCAUGGCUCAAGCAGCAUUCCCUUUCUUCUGCGUCUUCUCUAAAACCUGGAAACAUCCAAAGUUUUCUUUCCCUGAACUUGCUCUUUCUUGUGAGUCCUUCUCCUAGUACUUGGGCCUGCCUGGGAGCUCCGCAUGGAGACAGGAGGAGGAGCUUGCAUGGGCAUGGAGGGUCAGACUCCAGCCUCUUUAGGAGACUGGAAUCUCAGGUGUCUGGAAGAGAAGCCCAGGAUGCAGGACCCAGCAAGAGAAGAAAACCCGUGGGCAAGAAGAGCAGAAAAAGAAGAAACGAGAGAGAAUAAACAGCUAAGAGAAAGGAUGAGUAUUUGUUGCUGAGUUCCUACUUACCAGGCUUUUGCAUAUUUUAUUUAAUCUUUACAAAAUUUUUAGUUUCAGGGAACACAACAGAGCUGAGUGAGGGGGAAGAAAAGGGGUUAUAGGUGAAAGUGGGGAUUGGCAGGGGCCGUGCUGUGAAGGGCCUUGAACUGGCUAAUGAGUGAGUGAAUGAACAAACGAACACCUUGUGAAAGUUGUCGGAAUCAACAGGGGGUCGCUAGUGUUAAGAAAACCCUGACAAAUAGAGCCUGGGAAGGCCAUGAAGAGAGAGUUCCCAAGCGUGUAUGCCUGAUAACAAAAACCAUCACAAAAGACUACAAAACCACAACCUCACACAAAAGCCGUUGCAACCUUACACACACACACUUCUGAAAGGACAUCUGCUCAGCAACUGCCUGGCCAACCUUGGACUGGCAUUACCCUUGUUAUUUUUGUA